rnacentral:rRNA from 1 species
UACAGAGGGUGCAAGCGUUGUUCGGAAUUAUUGGGCGUAAAGCGCGUGUAGGCGGCUUUGCAAGUCGGGUGUGAAAGCCCUCAGCUCAACUGAGGAAGUGCGCCCGAAACUGCAGAGCUUGAGUGCCGGAGAGGGUGGCGGAAUUCCCCAAGUAGAGGUGAAAUCGUAGAUAUCUGGAGGAACACCGGUGGCGAAGGCGGCAUCCCUGGACCGGUAUUGACGGCUGAGGCGCGAAAGCUAGGGGAGCAA